GUGGCUUUUCUGUCCAACGUGCUGUGCUGUGUGUGCCUGCAGGUCAUAUUUAUCUGCCUGUCAGGACUGUUGGAGCACUGGAUGGAGAGCAGGUCAUAUGAAGAGGAUUACGGAGUAAAAGGCAGCUUGUACUGAAGUGCAGGGAAAGUAUAAAUAUUGAUAUAUAUUGGCACAGUGCUUGGCCUUAAUGCUUAAAAUCCUUUGGAGAGCUGUCUGCAUAUUUACUCUAUUAAUGAUUAAAUGCAAGGCUGUGUUGGGAAAGGUCUUCCAUUUGGAAGUCAGUAGUUGAGACUGUCUUGCCUAUGAAAAAGAGGGAGAAUUUUUGUUAGAGGAUGUAGGAUUCUGGCUGGUAAUAGUCUUAAUUCAAGGUAUUUUUAGAGAAUUGAUUUAAUACAAGCAGAACAAAUGGCCAGAAGUGUAAUGAGAGACAAGUUGAAAAUAGAAAGUAGAUGUGCAUUUUGAAUGUAUUGUCAUAGCAACUGAUUAAAUUCUCCCUCUCUUGCUGUUCUGGGGACCUUUUAAAUGUGCUUUGGCUAAAUAAAAUGUAUUAGACUAUUUCAGAGCCAAAAGGUCAGUUCUUGUUGUCUCUUUUGCACUUUAAUUCUAGUACACUGAUACUUGCUAACCACUUAUAACCCUAGAUGCAGAAUGAGAACUUGGGUUAUUAACAAUAAAGAAGUAAACAGCAGAAAGACUUGACCUUUCUUUUGAAUUGCCCUACAAUGUUAAAAAAUACCAAACAAACCUCCUUCCCCAAAGAAACACCCCCCAAAAUACCCCAACAACUCACCAAACAGAAAAUCACUGACAACCAAAAAGCAGAAGUAACAAACAUGAACAGCAAGUGGAGGAAGAGUUUGAAAGCGGGCUGGACAGAACCAGAAGUGUUACUGCCCACUCUUAGGCCACUGUGCUGAUUAAAUGGGUGUUGUUAGGUUUAGAUUAGUAGUUCGUUGUUGUUGGGUUUUUCAGUGGUGUUGAUUUUUUUGUUGUCGUUGUGGGGGAUUGUUUGUUUGUUUGUUUUUACUUUGUUUUUUUUCUGUAUUAAAAAUCUGGCUCAGUUACUCUCUAGUUCUGGUGUGUUUUCUUUUCCAGGUGGUUGGUGUUUCUGCAGUGUUUGGCACAGGACUGGGGGAGAUUUUUACCCAGCUUUCUAAAGCUGUAGAUGAAUAGGAGAGACUGAAUGCACUCCCUUUAUUCACCUUUUCAGAGAGUAUCGUCCAGAAUACGAGCGCCUGAGAAAAACACUGAUGUGGUGGAGCAUAUCUUUACAAAAAAAAAGAUUUUGUAAAACAGAUGUUGCUCACUGGUUUAGUGCUAAUAUUUGAGCUAAUUGUGUGAAAAUGAUUGGGAAAUAAGAUUGUGUCUUCCAUUCAGAUGGAUAGAGAGUUCUUAAAAAUAAAUUUCCAAAGGGAUUUGUUGAGACUAUCCCUGUAUCUUCCUGCACCAGUGAAGAGUACUAGUUUGACUUAGUAAGAAAGACUGAAUUGCAGUGCCAAAAUCAGUAGCUCUGCUCACCUUGAGUUGUGGCUGUCCAAAGGACAGUUCUCUGCAGGCACAGCUACACAGAGUUUGGCUUCCCGGCGCUGCUGAAAACGUCCUAGAAUCCCACCUGACUGGAGGUUGCUUUCCACGCUUAGUCAGAAGUUCUGUGAAACCUUAGUUGAAAUGUAAGACCUGCAUAGUGACUUCUGCUCUCUGACUGGGGGACAGGCUGCUGGGUUUGGGUGAGGUUUCUCUUCUCCUAAUGUUUUAAAUGUUCUCAGAAUCCACAGGUAAAUCUUUGUCUAUGGGAGAAAGCUCAAAAUAAACAAAAGAGAGAGCAGCUGGAACACUUGUGGAAGGACAUGGGCAGCGUGUGUGUGCAGGGCAGCACAGUGGCAGGUACCUCCCCAGGAAGAUAAAGUUUACUGCAGAAGUUUUCUGAAGAGUUUGCCUUGUGAAGUAGUACAGUGCUUCUUUGUCCUCACAGCAGAAGUGUGAAGGCAGCUCCAUGUUAGAGGAGCGGGGCUUUAGUUCCUGUGGGGUUGGUCACACUCAGCUCUUCCUGUGUCAGUCACAGGUUUGGAAGAAACCCCGCUGUGUAGCUAAAGCAGUGGACCUACUAGAAAUAAUGAAAUACUUUAGAAAAGGUGAAACAGUCAGAUCAGAAUAUGAGAAAGCUCUGCUGUUGGCUGCACUGUUCCUUAGAUGAGGCGAGUAGGUGCUGAUGGAGUCUGUCCUGUGUCUGGGAUCCACAAGCAGCUUUCUGUCCCCUUAGAGCAGGUGUUCAUUGCUGGGUUUCUGUGCAGAUAGAAACCUUACCUUUAGCAAGCUGGUUGGUGUACAGCUGUUUCUGUUCCCUUCAAGGACCUGAUGCUUCUGCAAUGGGUCCCUCUGAGCUAAUACUAACACGAGGAACUCUCGAUGAAGAGCAAGAAGAGAGGGAGAGUGACGCUGAUGGCAUUGACCAUGAAGGUAAGGGAAUGAGGUCUAAAAGCUGCCUCUCAAGAAAUCCCCUCUAUAUUUCAUGUCCUGGAUGGACUGUAAGGAGAGCCUAGAAAACAAGCAAACAUUCAGUCACCUGACGUGUCAGAAUCUGUAGCAGAAGCUCAGCUGCAAUGGUCAGUGCAGGGAUAUCACUCUGUAACCUUUGUGAAAGUUCAAUUGUAAAUUUUCUAUUCAAGUAAUUAAUAGGUGUAUAAUACACAUAGACCAGAGAACUCGUUAGGCUUGGGGCAUGCAGUGACCUCUGAACCUGAUUGAUGCACAGAUGUGUCCAUCAUCUUUUUGGCCUUACAGUUUCUGCCCCUGGCUCUCUUCCCUUUUCCUGUGACUGUGGUCUUGGAGCAAUCUUCUAAGUUGUUACAGUGUGAUUUUUCUCUUCUAUAGCUCACAGACUUAAUCUUCAUUCUUUCCCUGUUCCACUGAUGGGUAGGAUCACUUAUUUCCUUUGCCCUGUAAUGUAGCUGAAGAUGGAAUAGACUUUCUAUGUUGCUUUGGCUA